ACGACGACAGGGCGCUCCUCUAGUGUGCCGGCGCCGAGUUUGCGCUCACGGCUAACUUGCUCAUGCCGUUGGACGCGCCCGGCACACGGUGCCUCAUGGAGUUAUCCUUGUAUCGGAGGCAGGGCAUCAUUAAGUUCCACAACCCUUCCCCCUCCUCGUAGAAUUGCUUGUCCCUGUUGAUCGAAGUGAGACUGAAUCAGGGGGCCCGCACUCGCACCUCCCACGACCUCUUUCCGCCAUGGGGCUCCGGAUUCCACCGUUUGUCAGGCAUGAGUAGCGAGCGAUGGACUGGCGGAUCCCGGUAGAGACCUGAACCCCGCGCCACCACCAUCGCCACAGCAGGCUACAUGUUUGUUCUCUUGUUCUAGACGCAAGCAGCAGAUGCGAAAUAGGCAUCCGUCUCAUGGUGGGGAAAUUGUUCACAGUUGAGGAUGUCGUAAUUGGUGGCCUAUUCGUGAUAUCUCUUCUUCUAGAGAGUAUGCAAGACAAGGAUUUGCUUUGGGUCUUGUUGUUGUGCUCAAAUCGAUUCGGGCAAUCAAGGUUCAGGCAAUUAUGAAGUUGUCCCUAAUUUAUUUGAACAUUCAUUUUUUAUGAAGGGACUGGAAGCUAAGGACAAUAUUUUGGGGCGCCAGUUUGGAUUUGGAGCAAUUGUGAGGUCUGACCGUGUUUCACAACAGUGGACAUGUGACAAAAGCUCACCCAUCGUUAAGGAAUUUGUGAGUGUGGAUGUAGAACUCGGUGGCAAGAAACGAUACUUGACAGAGCCUGCAGUUGCCGUGAUUUUGGAAUUAGUUAGGAAGUGGUGGAAGAUUUGUGCAGGCAUGAUGCUAUCAUAUCAGAAGAAUUUUUGCUCAACUUUUGGUGAGCACUGGAAGAGGAUAGAGUGGUGAAGACAAUGGCAUAGCUAUACUGUCAUGGGCAUCAUAGGGAGCGAGAGGCAACAGCCAGGCUGGGAUAAGGCUAGAGAAUAAGAUUGAGAUGAGCUGGGAUAAGGCUAGAGAAUAAGAUUGAGAUGAGAGAAUUGUGGAGAGUUGGUUAGCAGUAGAUAAGUCCAAGAAAGUAGGAGUUAGUUGAGAGUUUGUAUGAGAAGUUGGUUAGCUAUAGGGCUAUUUAUAAGCCGCAUGGCAGCAGGGAAUAAAUCAAGCAAGAUCAUUACC